rnacentral:rRNA from 1 species
GACAGAGGGUGCAAACGUUGCUCGGAAUUACUGGGCGUAAAGCGCGUGUAGGUGGCCACGCAAGUCAGGUGUGAAAGCCCAGGGCUCAACCCUGGAAGUGCACAUGAUACUACGUGGCUGGAGUACUGAAGAGGAGAGCGGAAUUCCCGGUGUAGAGGUGAAAUUCGUAGAUAUCGGGAGGAACACCAGUGGCGAAGGCGGCUCUCUGGGCAGAUACUGACGCUGAGGAGCGAAAGCGUGGGGAGCGAACAGG